UACAGAGGUCUCAAGCGUUGUUCGGAUUCAUUGGGCGUAAAGGGUGCGCAGGCGGCCAUGUGUGUGAGGCGUGAAAGCCUGGAGCUUAACUCCAGAAUUGCACCUCAAACUACAUGGCUAGAGCAUUGGAGAGGGUAGCAGAAUUCAUGGUGUAGCAGUGAAAUGCGUAGAUAUUCGGAAGAACACCAGUGGCGAAGGCGAACUUACUGGACACAGUAUUGACGCUGAGGUGCGAAAGCGUGGGGAGCAAACAGGG
rnacentral:rRNA from 1 species